UUAAUCUGUAUUAUCCGAAGAAAUUGCAAGCGGUCGUCGGUGGGAGAUUUGUUGUGAUUUUUCGAAUUAUUUAUUCUGGCUGUGAAAAAAAGGUGCAAUCUACAUAAGAAACGUUAAAAUGGCGGGGGCAGAUGGCGUCGGUGCGGCUCACUGAGCGCGCCCCGCUCCGCGCCCCCUCCCGAGGAAAAAGGUCGCAGAAGAAUUAAAAGAAGGGGAAUUCAAGAUAUCGGAUAUCUGAUGGAUUACCGAACGACUUGCAUCGAAAGGUAUUUAGAUUUUUUAUUGCUGUUGCUUAAUUUGCAAUAAACGAGUGAUAGCAAAAAUCCUGUAA